UACGUAGGGGGCUAGCGUUGUCCGGAAUCAUUGGGCGUAAAGCGCACGUAGGCGGCAUUGCAAGUCGGAUGUGAAAUCCCUCGGCUCAACCAAGGAAGUGCAUCCGAAACUGCUGUGCUUGAGUACUAAAGAGGAUCGCGGAAUUCCCGGUGUAGAGGUGAAAUUCGUAGAUAUCGGGAGGAACACCAGUGGCGAAGGCGGAUCUCUGGGCCUUACCUGACGCUGAGGAGCGAAAGCAUGGGGAGCAAACAGG
rnacentral:rRNA from 1 species